rnacentral:rRNA from 1 species
AGCUCCAAUAGCGUAUAUUAAAGUUGUUGCGGUUAAAAAGCUCGUAGUUGGAUUUCUGUUAGGGACGACCGGUCCGCACUAUGUGCGUGUAUCUGGCUCGGCCUUGGCAUCCUCCUGGGGAACGGUGCUGCGCUUGAUUGCGUGGUCCGGUAUUCAGGACUUUUACUUGAGGAAAUUAGAGUGUUUACGGCAGGCAAUCGCCUUGAAUAUAUUAGCAUGGAAUAAUACUAUAGGACCUUGGUUCUAUUUUGUUGGUUUCUAGGACUUAGGUAAUGAUUAAUAGGGACAAUUGGGGGCAUUCGUAUUAACGCGUCAGAGGUGGAAUUCUUGGAUUGCGUUACGACGAACUACUGCGAAAGCAUUUGCCAAAGAUGUUUUCA